GAGGGUAUAGCUCAGUGGUAGGGUGCGUGUCUAGCAUACGUGAGGUCCUGAGUUCAGACCCCAGUAUCUGCA
rnacentral:tRNA from 1 species